rnacentral:rRNA from 1 species
AAGAGACAGCAGCAGCCGCGGGAAUACGAAGGGUGCAAGCGUUAAUCGGAAUUACUGGGCGUAAAGCGUGCGUAGGCGGUGAGUUAAGUCUGCUGUGAAAUCCCCGGGCUCAACCUGGGAAUGGCAGUGGAUACUGGCUCGCUAGAGUGUGUCAGAGGAUGGUGGAAUUCCCAGUGUAGCGGUGAAAUGCGUAGAGAUCGGGAGGAACAUCAGUGGCGAAGGCGGCCAUCUGGGACAACACUGACGCUGAGGCACGAAAGCGUGGGGAGCAAACAGGAUUAGAUACCCGCGUAGUCCCUGUCUCUUAUAC